rnacentral:lncRNA from 1 species
GUCUUGGAGGAGUGAGUGCCUGGUGCAGUCUCUGCCUGACUCCUUGGUAAGUCAUGGCCAAAAGUCUUUAAGGUGCCAAAGCUAAUGAGGAACCAUUUCGAGGGCUGGAUGAGUGUAAUUCAGAUUAGCCUGCAUGCCAGGCUGCUCUGCUCCUGCUCAGCCUCGCCCCAUGCCACGCUCCCCGUGCCGUGCUCCGGACGGACGGAGCCUGGAGCGGCACGGCUCUGGCACUGCCUUUGGCCAGUUAAGUUUUCUGUGCUUCGGUUCUCCUUUUGGAAGGUCAGUCCAAGGCUGGCCAAGCAGGCAGGACUCGCAUUCCUGCGCCUUGGCACUUGCCAGGCGCGGCUCUGGCGGAACACCACCGACAGCAGCUUCCAGAUGCCCGCAGCCCCUGCGGAGACCGGCUCGCUGAUGACCGGCGACUUGUUAACCCCCUGCGUGUCUCAAGUUGGUUUCAGGACUGAAGGAAAAGCACAACAAAUGAGACAUCACGUAGCUUCAUAA